rnacentral:rRNA from 1 species
UGGGGAAUAUUGCACAAUGGGCGCAAGCCUGAUGCAGCCAUGCCGCGUGUAUGAAGAAGGCCUUCGGGUUGUAAAGUACUUUCAGCGGGGAGGAAGGGAGUAAAGUUAAUACCUUUGCUCAUUGACGUUACCCGCAGAAGAAGCACCGGCUAACUCCGUGCCAGCAGCCGCGGUAAUACGGAGGGUGCAAGCGUUAAUCGGAAUUACUGGGCGUAAAGCGCACGCAGGCGGUUUGUUAAGUCAGAUGUGAAAUCCCCGGGCUCAACCUGGGAACUGCCUCUGAUACUGGCAAGCUUGAGUCUCGUAGAGGGGGGUAGAAUUCCAGGUGUAGCGGUGAACUGCGUAGAGAUCUGGAGGAAUACCGGUGGCGAAGGCGGCCCCCUGGACAAAGACUGACGCUCAGGUGCGAAAGCGUGGGGAGCAAACAGG